GGCCAUCAUCUUUCACUGAUGCAAACCGGUUCCACCUGGUGAAGGAAUCAGAGUUGCAAGACAAUGAUUGGAUUCGUCUUUACUUGGAACUUGCACUUGUUUUUCUCGAUAGGAGUCUUACACAUGACCAUCACUCCCACCAUCUCUCCCAGUUGGAGAUUGUGCAAGCGGCGAUUGAAACUACUCAAGAUGACUC